CCUACGGGUGGCAGCAGUGAGGAAUAUUGGUCAAUGGGCGGAAGCCUGAACCAGCCAAGUAGCGUGAAGGAUGACUGCCCUAUGGGUUGUAAACUUCUUUUAUAUGGGAAUAAAAUGUUCCACGUGUGGGAUUUUGUAUGUACCAUAUGAAUAAGGAUCGGCUAACUCCGUGCCAGCAGCCGCGGUAAUACGGAGGAUCCGAGCGUUAUCCGGAUUUAUUGGGUUUAAAGGGAGCGUAGGUGGUUUUUUAAGUUAGUGGUGAAAGUUUGCGGCUCAACCGUAAAAUUGCAGUUGAAACUGGCAGUCUUGAGUACAGAAGAGGUGGGCGGAAUUCGUGGUGUAGCGGUGAAAUGCUUAGAUAUCACGAAGAACACCGAUUGCGAAGGCAGCUCACUGGACUGCAACUGACACUGAGGCUCGAAAGUGUGGGUAUCAAACAGGAUUAGAUACCCCAGUAGUC
rnacentral:rRNA from 1 species